rnacentral:rRNA from 1 species
GACGAACGCUGGCGGCGUGCUUAACACAUGCAAGUCGAACGGAAAGGCCCUGCUUUUGUGGGGUGCUCGAGUGGCGAACGGGUGAGUAACACGUGAGUAACCUGCCCUUGACUUUGGGAUAACUUCAGGAAACUGGGGCUAAUACCGGAUAGGAGCUCCUGCUGCAUGGUGGGGGUUGGAAAGUUUCGGCGGUUGGGGAUGGACUCGCGGCUUAUCAGCUUGUUGGUGGGGUAGUGGCUUACCAAGGCUUUGACGGGCAGCCGGCCUGAGAGGGUGACCGGCCACAUUGGGACUGAGGUACGGCACAGACUCCUACGGGAGGCAGCAGUGGGGAAUAUUGCACAAUGGGCGGAAGCCUGAUGCAGCAACGCCGCGUGCGGGAUGACGGCCUUCGGGGUGUAAACCGCUUUCGCCUGUGACGAAGCGUGAGUGACGGUAAUGGGUAAAGAAGCACCGGCUAACUACGUG